GACUCUGAGUGGUGGAUCACUCGGCUCAUGCGUGGAUGAAGAACGCAGAUAGCUGUGAGAACUAAUGUGAAUUGAAGGACACAUUGAUCAUCAACACUUUGAACGCACUUUGCAGCCCCAAGGUUACUCACGGGCUAUGCCUGUCUGAGGGUCG